rnacentral:rRNA from 1 species
UGCCAGCCGCCGCGGUAAUACAGAGGGUGCAAACGUUGUUCGGAAUCACUGGGCAUAAAGCGCACGUAGGCGGCCAAGUAAGUGUGGAGUGAAAUCCCACGGCUCAACCGUGGAACUGCUUCGCAUACUGCAUGGCUAGAGGACAGUAGGGGAGAGCGGAACUCCUGGUGGAGCGGUGAAAUGCGUAGAUAUCAGGAGGAACACCGGUGGCGAAGGCGGCUCUCUGGUCUGUUUCUGACGCUGAGGUGCGAAAGCCAGGGUAGCGAACGGGAUUAGAUA